CACGGAUGGUGCUGUUGAAUUUAACGGUCUAUUGUUGUCGAGCUCAGUGCCAAGCCUUCAGUAAGAAUAUGCUGAUAAAACACCAUCUAAAGUAACAGUCUGGCCAUGUCUGCAGCUGCACUCUGGAACUUGCAUUGAUAUUUAAUGAGGAUACAGCCGGACACAUGAGGCCAGAAAGCAGGAGUAAACGAUAAGCGAAAAACCCAGUGGAAGAAAGCUGGAGCGAGUGAGCGAGCGAUGGAAAGGAAGCAUCUGAUGUAACAGGACACUGU